AACGCGAAGAACCUUACCUACCCUUGACAUGGCUGGAAUCCCCGAGAGAUUGGGGAGUGCUCGAAAGAGAACCAGUACACAGGUGCUGCAUGGCUGUCGUCAGCUCGUGUCGUGAGAUGUUGGGUUAAGUCCCGCAACGAGCGCAACCCUUGUCAUUAGUUGCUGCGAAAGGGCACUCUAAUGAGACUGCCGGUGACAAACCGGAGGAAGGUGGGGAUGACGUCAAGUCCUCAUGGCCCUUAUGGGUAGGGCUUCACACGUCAUACAAUGGUACAUACAGAGCGCCGCCAACCCGCGAGGGGGAGCUAAUCGCAGAAAGUGUAUCGUAGUCCGGAUUGUAGUCUGCAACUCGACUGCAUGAAGUUGGAAUCGCUAGUAAUCGCGGAUCAGCAUGUCGCGGUGAAUACGUUCCCGGGUCUUGUACACACCG
rnacentral:rRNA from 1 species